CAGGCUUAACACAUGCAAGUCGAGGGGCAUCAGGAAGAAAGCUUGCUUUCUUUGCUGGCGACCGGCGCGCGGGUGAGUAACACGUAUCCAACCCGCCCUUUACUCGGGGAUAGCCUUUCGAAAGAAAGAUUAAUACCCGAUAGCAUAAUGAUUCCGCAUGGUUUCAUUAUUAAAGGAUUCCGGUAAAGGAUGGGGAUGCGUUCCAUUAGGUUGUUGGUGAGGUAACGGCCCACCAAGCCUUCGAUGGAUAGGGGUUCUGAGAGGAAGGUCCCCCACAUUGGAACUGAGACACGGUCCAAACUCCUACGGGAGGCAGCAGUGAGGAAUAUUGGUCAAUGGGCGCUAGCCUGAACCAGCCAAGUAGCGUGAAGGAUGAAGGCUCUAUGGGUCGUAAACUUCUUUUAUAUAAGAAUAAAGUGCAGUAUGUAUACUGUUUUGUAUGUAUUAUAUGAAUAAGGAUCGGCUAACUCCGUGCCAGCAGCCGCGGUAAUACGGAGGAUCCGAGCGUUAUCCGGAUUUAUUGGGUUUAAAGGGAGCGUAGGUGGACUGGUAAGUCAGUUGUGAAAGUUUGCGGCUCAACCGUAAAAUUGCAGUUGAUACUGUCAGUCUUGAGUACAGUAGAGGUGGGCGGAAUUCGUGGUGUAGCGGUGAAAUGCUUAGAUAUCACGAAGAACUCCGAUUGCGAAGGCAGCUCACUGGACUGCAACUGACACUGAUGCUCGAAAGUGUGGGUAUCAAACAGGAUUAGAUACCCUGGUAGUCCACACAGUAAACGAUGAAUACUCGCUGUUUGCGAUAUACAGUAAGCGGCCAAGCGAAAGCAUUAAGUAUUCCACCUGGGGAGUACGCCGGCAACGGUGAAACUCAAAGGAAUUGACGGGGGCCCGCACAAGCGGAGGAACAUGUGGUUUAAUUCGAUGAUACGCGAGGAACCUUACCCGGGCUUAAAUUGCAGUGGAAUGAUGUGGAAACAUGUCAGUGAGCAAUCACCGCUGUGAAGGUGCUGCAUGGUUGUCGUCAGCUCGUGCCGUGAGGUGUCGGCUUAAGUGCCAUAACGAGCGCAACCCUUAUCUUUAGUUACUAACAGGUUAUGCUGAGGACUCUAGAGAGACUGCCGUCGUAAGAUGUGAGGAAGGUGGGGAUGACGUCAAAUCAGCACGGCCCUUACGUCCGGGGCUACACACGUGUUACAAUGGGGGGUACAGAAGGCAGCUAGCGGGUGACCGUAUGCUAAUCCCAAAAUCCUCUCUCAGUUCGGAUCGAAGUCUGCAACCCGACUUCGUGAAGCUGGAUUCGCUAGUAAUCGCGCAUCAGCCACGGCGCGGUGAAUACGUUCCCGGGCCUUGUACACACCGCCCGUCAAGCCAUGGGAGCCGGGGGUACCUGAAGUACGUAACCGCAAGGAUCGUCCUAGGGUAAAACUGGUGACUGGGGCUAAGU
rnacentral:rRNA from 1 species